AGCAGGUACAGGCAGGAGGGCUGAGGCAGACUACAGUAACCCAGGGAUGGGGCAGCAGGUACAGGCAGGAGGGCUGAGGCAGACUACAGUAACCCAGGGAUGGGGCAGCAGGUACAGGCAGGAGGGCUGAGGCAGACUACAGUAACCCAGGGAUGGGGCAGCAGGUACAGGCAGGAGGGCUGGGGCAGACUACAGUAACCCAGGGGUGGG